UACGUAGGGGGCAAGCGUUAUCCGGAUUUACUGGGCGUAAAGCGCGUGUAGGCGGUUGCGCAAGUUGUGUGUGAAAUCUCCCGGCUCAACCGGGAAACUGCACGCAAUACUGCGUGGCUAGAGUGGCAGAGAGGAAAGUGGAAUUCCCGGUGUAGUAGUGAAAUGCGUAGAUAUCUGGAGGAACACCGGUGGCGAAGGCGGCAUCCUGGACCAACACUGACGCUGAGGAGCGAAAGCCAGGGGAGCAAACGGG
rnacentral:rRNA from 1 species